rnacentral:rRNA from 1 species
UACGGAGGGUGCAAGCGUUAUCCGGAUUCACUGGGUUUAAAGGGUGCGUAGGCGGAUAGGUAAGUCCGUGGUGAAAUCCUGCAGCUUAACUGCAGAACUGCCAUGGAUACUAUCUAUCUUGAAUGUCGUGGAGGUUAGCGGAAUAUGUCAUGUAGCGGUGAAAUGCUUAGAGAUGACAUAGAACACCCAUUGCGAAGGCAGCUAACUACGCGAUAAUUGACGCUGAUGCACGAAAGCGUGGGGAUCAA